rnacentral:rRNA from 1 species
CCUUAGAGUUUGAUCCUGGCACAGGAUGAACGCUAGCGACAGGCUUAACACAUGCAAGUCGAGGGGCAGCGGUGGUGAAGGCUUGCCUUUACCAGCCGGCGACCGGCGCACGGGUGAGUAACACGUAUGCAACCUGCCUGCCACAGCCGGAUAAUCGGGAGAAAUUCCGUCUAAUACGGCAUAAUGCACCUAUGGGACAUCCUGUUGGUGCCAAAGGUUAAUUCCGGUGGCGGAUGGGCAUGCGUCGCAUUAGCUAGUUGGCGGGGUAACGGCCCACCAAGGCGACGAUGCGUAGGGGUUCUGAGAGGAAGGUCCCCCACACUGGUACUGAGACACGGACCAGACUCCUACGGGAGGCAGCAGUGAGGAAUAUUGGUCAAUGGACGCAAGUCUGAACCAGCCAAGUAGCGUGCAGGAUGACGGCCCUCCGGGUUGUAAACUGCUUUUAGUUGGGAAUAAAAGGGGGCUCGUGAGCCCCGUAUUGUAUGUACCAUCAGAAAAAGGACCGGCUAAUUCCGUGCCAGCAGCCGCGGUAAUACGGAAGGUCCGGGCGUUAUCCGGAUUUAUUGGGUUUAAAGGGAGCGUAGGCCGGCUUUUAAGUCAGCUGUGAAAGUCCGCGGCUCAACCGUGGAAUUGCAGUUGAAACUGGAGGCCUUGAGUGCACACAGGGAUGCCGGAAUUCAUGGUGUAGCGGUGAAAUGCUUAGAUAUCAUGAAGAACUCCGAUCGCGAAGGCAAGUGUCCGGGGUGCAACUGACGCUGAGGCUCGAAAGUGCGGGUAUCAAACAGGAUUAGAUACCCUGGUAGUCCGCACCGUAAACGAUGAAUACUCGUGUCCCGCGAUAUAUUGUGGGACACUUAGCGAAAGCGUUAAGUAUUCCACCUGGGGAGUACGCCGGCAACGGUGAAACUCAAAGGAAUUGACGGGGGCCCGCACAAGCGGAGGAACAUGUGGUUUAAUUCGAUGAUACGCGAGGAACCUUACCCGGGCUUGAAAUGUGCAGGACUCAGGCAGAGACGCCUGUUUCUUCGGACCUGCAUGUAGGUGCUGCAUGGUUGUCGUCAGCUCGUGCCGUGAGGUGUCGGCUUAAGUGCCAUAACGAGCGCAACCCUUCUCCCCGUUUGCCAUCAGUUAAUGCUGGGCACUCCGGGGACACUGCCAUCGUAAGAUGUGAGGAAGGUGGGGAUGACGUCAAAUCAGCACGGCCCUUACGUCCGGGGCUACACACGUGUUACAAUGGGGGGUACAGAGGGCCGCUAUCCCGCGAGGGUGCGCCAAUCCUCAAAACCUCUCUCAGUUCGGACUGGAGUCUGCAACCCGACUCCACGAAGCUGGAUUCGCUAGUAAUCGCGCAUCAGCCAUGGCGCGGUGAAUACGUUCCCGGGCCUUGUACACACCGCCCGUCAAG